UCAAAUGUAGCUCCGCCUCUGUCUGAAACAAUAUAAUUCCAAAUAACCAAAGUAAACAAGAACAAAAUCAUCAAUGAGAAGAAGAAGAAGAAGAAUUUACUUACCAAUGAGAAGUCAUUUCCUUUUAAUGAAGCUUUGGUGACCCUUAGGCUUUGUGGAAAAUAGAAGAAAGGUUUAGUAGGUUCUCCAGCUUGUGGUAUAUUACUGUUUAUGCAGCUUCUUGAUGAUAACCAAAAAAUUUCGCUCAAAUGUAGCUCCGCCUCUGUCUGAAACAAUAUAAUUCCAAAUAACCAAAGUAAACAAGAACAAAAUCAUCAAUGAGAAGAAGAAGAAGAAGAAUUUACUUACCAAUGAGAAGUCAUUUCCUUUUAAUGAAGCUUUGGUGACCCUUAGGCUUUGUGGAAAAUAGAAGAAAGGUUUAGUAGGUUCUCCAGCUUGUGGUAUAUUACUGUUUAUGCAGCUUCUUGAUGAUAACCAACUUACAGCUCUUGCCAUAUCCCACUUCUCUCUCUCUCUCUCCUUAUCUUUCUAUGUCUUCUGUGGCCUUAUUCUCACAACAUG
rnacentral:lncRNA from 1 species